UACGUAGGGGGCGAGCGUUGUCCGGAUUUAUUGGGCGUAAAGAGCUCGUAGGCGGUUUGGUAAGUUGGAUGUGAAAUCUCCAGGCUCAACUUGGAGGGGUCAUUCGAUACUGCCAUGACUAGAGUUCGGUAGGGGAGUGUGGAAUUCCUGGUGGAGCGGUGAAAUGCGCAGAUAUCGGGAGGAACACCGGUGGCGAAGGCGGUUCUCUGGGCCUUACCUGACGCUGAGGAGCGAAAGCGUGGGGAGCGAACAGG
rnacentral:rRNA from 1 species